rnacentral:tRNA from 1 species
CGGGGAAUAGCUCAAUUGGCUAGAGCACACGAUUCGGGUUCGUGAGGUUGAGGGUUCGACUCCCUCUUCCCCGACUA